UGGGGUUCGGGGCAAAGCCCCGACGCCAAAAACUUUUCUUGUAUUUUUCACUGCAGAAACGCAUACUCCUGACAUCUACAGCUCAUUACUAAUCAUUGGGGUUCGGGUCGAAGCCCCGGCGCCAAAAGCGUUUUCUUGGAUUCUUCACUGUAGAAACGCAUUCUCCUGACAAUUUCAGCUCAUUAGUAAUCAGUGGGAAUCGGGGCGAAGCCCCGACGUCAAAAGCGUUAUCUUCUAUAAUUCACUGCAGAAAGGCAUUCUCCUGGUAUAUACAUCUCAUUACUUAUCAGUGGGGUUCGGGGCGAAGCCAAAAGCGUUGUCUUACAUUCUUCACUGCAGAAAUGCAUUCUCCUGACAUCUACAGCAUAUUAGUAAUCAGUGGGGUUCGGGGCAAAGCCCCGAC